CAGUCUGACCUGCCCCCUGAAAGUUUUAAAGGGCCGCGGUAUUUGGCCGUGCUAAGGUAGCAUAAUAAAUAGUCUUUUAAUUGAAGUCUAGUAUGAAUGGUCGGACAUGAAGUAAGCUGUUUUAGCUUUGAUUUUUGAAUUUUACUUUUAAGUGAAAAGGCUUAAAUUAUAUGGUGGGACGAUAAGACCCUAUAAAGCUUUACGUUUUACUUUUCAGUUGUAAGAUCUAAGGUUUCUUGUUCUUAUUGAGUAAAUCGUUUCGUUGGGGCGACGGGAAUAUAAAUAAAGUAACUGUUUUUGUUUGGAAAAUAUUUUUUAUAGGUGAGUUGAUCCUUUUUAGAGAUUAUAAGAUUUAAGUUACUUUAGGGAUAACAGCCGUAAUUUAUCUUGAGAGUUCAUAUCGACAGAUAUAGUUGCCGACCUCGAUGUUGAAUUAAAAUAUCCUCCAGUGUAGCAGUUUUGGUGGUAGGUCUGUUCGACCUUUAAAAAUUU
rnacentral:rRNA from 1 species